UACGUAGGGUGCGAGCGUUGUCCGGAAUUAUUGGGCGUAAAGGGCUCGUAGGCGGUUUGUCGCGUCGGGAGUGAAAACACACAGCUUAACUGUGUGCUGGCUUCCGAUACGGGCAGACUAGAGGUAUGCAGGGGAGAACGGAAUUCCUGGUGUAGCGGUGAAAUGCGCAGAUAUCAGGAGGAACACCGGUGGCGAAGGCGGUUCUCUGGGCAUUACCUGACGCUGAGGAGCGAAAGUGUGGGGAGCGAACAGG
rnacentral:rRNA from 2 species